rnacentral:rRNA from 1 species
UACGAAGGGGGCGAGGCGUUGUUCGGAAUUACUGGGCGUAAAGGGCGCGUAGGCGGCCCUCUUUGUCGCGUGUGAAAGCCCCGGGCUCAACCUGGGAACGGCGCGCGAAACGGGGGGGGCUGGAGUUCGGGAGAGGAGCGUGGAAUUCCUGGUGUAGCGGUGAAAUGCGCAGAUAUCAGGAGGAACACCUAUUGCGAAGGCAGCUCGCUGGGACGUAACUGACGCUGGAGACGCGAAAGCGUGGGGAGCAAACAGG